GGUAGCAUGGCCGAGCGGUCUAAGGCGCUGGUUUAAGGCACCAGUCAUUUCGAUGGCGUGGGUUUGAAUCCCACUGCUGCCA
rnacentral:tRNA from 1 species